rnacentral:rRNA from 1 species
UACAGAGGUCUCAAGCGUUGUUCGGAUUCAUUGGGCGUAAAGGGUGCGUAGGCGGCGCGGUAAGUCGGGUGUGAAAGUCUUGGAGCUUAACUCCGAAACUGCAUUCGAUACUGCCGUGCUUGAGGACUGGAGAGGAGACUGGAAUUUACGGUGUAGCGGUGGAAAUGCGUAGAUAUCGUAAGGAAGACCAGUGGCGAAGGCGGGUCUCUGGACAGUUCCUGACGCUGAGGCACGAAGGCCAGGGGAGCAAACGGG